AGGUGAUGAUGACGCCAGCCAGGAUGACGCCAUGUCAGUUGAUACAGAAUCAGACACAGAUCUCCAAGUUAUCGAGUCUUUGGGGGAAGUUGACAAGCAUCCCGGUGACCAGUGUUGCGGCAGUCUGCAUUGCAAAGGACGAGGAUCACUACCUGAGUUGGACAAUCAUCUACAUGUAUAGACUUUCGAUGACUGCUGGUUUGUGUCAUAUGGUUUAAGGGAAUGCUCUAUAGAUUUGUUUUGAUUUGUUUUAAAUUAUUAAUGCUUAGGCUGAUGUCCAAACUAAAAUUCCAAUAGUAUUGCAAUGCAAGGCUGGAAAUCAUUGGAUAUAACUGCUUGCAUAAACUUGCACACUAAUAUUUUGCACCUUAGCCAUGUUACUAGCACAGGGCUGGAAUUCUUUUACACAGUUAUGGGAUCUAGAGUCAACUCAGUAUCACUGCUUAUAUUAACUAUCACUGCUUUUGUCAUCUUGCACACUAAUAUUUUUGCACUUUGGCACAGGACUACAAUUCGUUGACUUGGUUAUGGAGUCACAAGCCAACUUUGAAGAAUUGCUCUGCCGCAAAAUAUACGAUAUUUUGAAAAUACCACUGCUUAUAUAUUAACUUGCACACUAAUGUUUUGCACUUUAGUACAGGAAUACAAUUCGUUGACUCGGUUAUGGAGUCAA